CAGUCGCCACGGGAAUACGUAGGUGGCAAGCGUUGUCGGAAUUAUUGGGCGUAAAGGGCUCGCAGGCGGUUUCUUAAGUCUGAUGUGAAAGCCCCCGGCUCAACCGGGGAGGGUCAUUGGAAACUGGGAAACUUGAGUGCAGAAGAGGAGAGUGGAAUUCCACGUGUAGCGGUGAAAUGCGUAGAGAUGUGGAGGAACACCAGUGGCGAAGGCGACUCUCUGGUCUGUAACUGACGCUGAGGAGCGAAAGCGUGGGGAGCGAACAGGAUUAGAUACCCCGGUAGUCCCUGUCUCUUAUACA
rnacentral:rRNA from 1 species